rnacentral:rRNA from 1 species
UACGUAGGCAGCGAGCGUUGUUCGGAGUUACUGGGCGUAAAGGGUGUGUAGGCGGUUUUCUAAGUUUGGUGUGAAAUCUCCCGGCUCAACCGGGAGGGUGCGCCGAAAACUGGGAGACUAGAGUGCGGGAUGGGAGAGUAGAAUUCCUGGUGUAGCAGUGAAAUGCGUAGAUAUCAGGAGGAAUACCGGUGGUGUAGACGGCUCUCUGGACCGCCACUGACGCUGAGACACGAAAGCGUGGGUAGCAAACAGG